GGUGCAGUAGAUGCAGUUACCAGUUACCGAUCCUUCGAGAAUUCAGUACCUCUCCUUCGAUCGUGAUAUUCUAUUGUGGUAUUCUAGAUAUAACAUCGGUAUAAAGUAAUAGGCAUAAAGCGCGGUCUGCAAACCGAGACGUGAAAAUUUCGACUUCUUUUUUGCGUUUCGUGUUCAUAAUAUUUCGUGUAUACAUAUUGUAAUGUAUGCAUGAUUAUCAUACCUCGACUAUAUUAUGCUACGAAAGCGUAUAAUUAUUAGGAUUCGUAUCGCGUCCAUCACGUACAAUAAUAAUAUUAUUCCUGUAACA